rnacentral:rRNA from 1 species
AUUGAACGCUGGCGGCAGGCUUAACACAUGCAAGUCGAGCGGGGUGAUGGUGCUUGCACUAUCACUUAGCGGCGGACGGGUGAGUAAUGCUUAGGUAUCUGCCUAUUAGUGGGGGACAACAUCUCGAAAGGGAUGCUAAUACCGCAUACGUCCUACGGGAGAAAGCAGGGGAUCACUUGUGACCUUGCGCUAAUAGAUGAGCCUAAGUCGGAUUAGCUAGUUGGUGGGGUAAAGGCCUACCAAGGCGACGAUCUGUAGCGGGUCUGAGAGGAUGAUCCGCCACACUGGGACUGAGACACGGCCCAGACUCCUACGGGAGGCAGCAGUGGGGAAUAUUGGACAAUGGGGGGAACCCUGAUCCAGCCAUGCCGCGUGUGUGAAGAAGGCCUUAUGGUCGUAAAGCACUUUAAGCGAGGAGGAGGCUCUUUUGGUUAAUACCCAAGAUGAGUGGACGUUACUCGCAGAAUAAGCACCGGCUAACUCUGUGCCAGCAGCAGCCGCCG